CAUAUUCCAUAACUUCCAAUGACUUCGGUAAAUGAAACAAUCUUUUAUUUCAUGUCAAAUGGGAUGGAAUGAAGAAAAGGUUUUUCCCUAACAUUCACAGAUACAUGGACUCUUAGAAAAUAAUUUUAAUGUUCUUUCCUCAGCCUAAGAGAAUAAAGCUGGCUUACUCUUAAACUUAAAAAUGGUAAUCCUAAGCUUGAAAUGAAAUUUCUAUGAAAGUUGUCUUCAUUCCUCACCACUUCUUUUUCAGCUUUGCUGAAAGAUGACAUCACUCAAGCCAUCACCUGUGCAAAGAGGAUUGUCAGUGAACAAGGCAUUAAAGCCUGGGUGGCGUGGAGAAGUCAUUGUCGAAACCGAGAUGUCUCCAAGUAUGUCCGGAACUGUCGCGUUUAACUAUGCAGUUCUAUUCCCUCAGCGUAUUUUGUCUCUUUUUCCACAUUAAACGAGGAGUAGUUGAGUGGAAAGUUCAUGCUACCAUUCUUUCAAACAAACGUUUUAGUCUUUCGAACAGGAACAAAAUAUGGUCUUUCUUUUACGAGGCUUACUAUUUACUAAUGUGUUUAUUAUUUGAAAUUAAGCCCACAUUUUUCAAUUUGCUGAAAGAAAUAAUGCUGGUGAAAAUUUAUCCAAAAUUUCAGCUCUCAAAUACAUCUCUAGUGUACAUUCAGUUAUUGAUCAAACAAAUAACCCAGGCUUAAUCUUGCAUGCUACAAGUACUCCCUAGUAAAGAAAAAUGUAACAAAAGAUUAUCUUAAAACAAGUUGAUCUUAGGCAAAAUGCCAGCUGUAUACACGUGACAUCUUCAAGUAUUCCGUCAUCUCCAAACAUGGUAAAAAAAAGCAAGAAAGCAAAAAACACUCUUUGUUGGGGAAUAUAACAUUUUUAAAGGAGCUUUGUGGCAAAUGGCUAAAAACAGAGGCAGCCUGAAUUAAGAAUUUUGCUUCUAUAAAGUGGGACCUUUGGUUUAAAUAUAUCCUGAGAAAUGUUGCUUUAGAAAGAAAUUCACGUUUUACACAUCAAUCUAUUUUAGCCCUUUAAGGCAUUCUUUUAUGCAUCUUGCUGAUCAUGAAGGAAUAUAAAGGAUUAGAUGAGCUGUUGCUGUUCUUUAAUUUUACUGACUUAGAUUCGUGCAUUAUGACUAAAUCCUGAGGCAGAUGGGUUUGCAAGUAUUGAAGUAAUUCCUAAUUAACCACCAGUCUGAAAUUAUGCAUGUUGUAAAAAAAAUUAUUAAAUACUUUGCAAUGCA